GACGAACGCUGGCGGCGUGCUUAACACAUGCAAGUCGAACGGAAAGGCCCUGCUUUUGUGGGGUGCUCGAGUGGCGAACGGGUGAGUAACACGUGAGUAACCUGCCCUUGACUUUGGGAUAACUUCAGGAAACUGGGGCUAAUACCGGAUAGGAGCUCCUGCUGCAUGGUGGGGGUUGGAAAGUUUCGGCGGUUGGGGAUGGACUCGCGGCUUAUCAGCUUGUUGGUGGGGUAGUGGCUUACCAAGGCUUUGACGGGUAGCCGGCCUGAGAGGGUGACCGGCCACAUUGGGACUGAGAUACGGCCCAGACUCCUACGGGAGGCAGCGGUGGGGAAUAUUGCACAAUGGGCGGAAGCCUGAUGCAGCAACGCCGCGUGCGGGGUGACGGCCUUCGGGUUGUAAACCACUUUCGCCUGUGACGAAGCGUGAGUGACGGUAAUGGGUAAAGAAGCACCGGCUAACUACGUG
rnacentral:rRNA from 1 species